UUGCCCAUGUUCUGUCUCUUAACUAUUCUAAAGCAAAUUAAUCUUAGAUCAAUGUGCAACGGACCCUUAUCUAAAAUAUACUUGUAGCCUACCAAGUUUAGUAAGUCAGCUCUCCCCCUGCCCUCCCGCCCCCCCUCCCAUUACAGCAGCUAUCUCUUUGAUAUUUCCUUGUAAACGUGAGCACAACAUUACAUUUUGGUGAACCACUUCUUCUUUUCAGGGAAGUAAGAAAAUUGCUUCUGGCAUCUUACCGUGUUGUGUGGAUUCGCGUGAGUGUCUGACUCAUUUUUACCUCCCAAGAGAGCCCCGUGAGCGUGUCACCAGGCAGGCAGAAGGGAAGAAAUGAGGCACAUGGCCUUCAUGCUGAUGAUCCUGGAGAAGGAAAAUGUGUAGGCUUGCUCCAUGCUUUCGUUCUCUGAGAGUGCUGAGUGGGGGCUUCAAGAAAUACUGUGUAUUCUCAUCUCUCCCACCAUUUCCCAUCACACCCUGAGGGAGAGGUGAACAGAUUCCACUAAUAAAAAUG